GACGAACGCGGGCGGCGUGCGUAACACAUGCAAGUAGAACGGAGUGGGGAACGGGAGAGUAACACGUGGGUGACCUGCCCUGCACUUAGGGAUAAGCCUGGGAAACUGGGUCUAAAACCGGAUAGUGUGGGAUGGGCCCGCGGCCUAUCAGCUUGUUGGUGGUGUAAUGGCCUACCAAGGCGGCGACGGGUAGCCGGCCUGAGAGGGUGGACGGCCACAUUGGGCCUGACACACAGCCCAGACUCCUACGGGAGGCAGCCGUGGGGAAUAUUGCACAAUGCGCGGAAGCCUGAUGCAGCGUCGCCGCGUUUGGGAUGACGGCCUUCCGGUUGUAAACUCCUUUCACCUUCCACGCGAUAGCUGGCGGAGCCGCACCGGCUCACUACGUGCCCGCAGCCGCGGUAAUAC
rnacentral:rRNA from 1 species